UUAAGUUAUUAAGGGCGCACGGUGGAUGCCUUGGCACUAGAAGCCGAUGAAGGACGUUACUAACGACGAUAUGCUUUGGGGAGCUGUAAGUAAGCUUUGAUCCAGAGAUUUCCGAAUGGGGAAACCCAGCAUGAGUUAUGUCAUGUUAUCGAUAUGUGAAUACAUAGCAUAUCAGAAGGCACACCCGGAGAACUGAAACAUCUUAGUACCCGGAGGAAGAGAAAGAAAAUUCGAUUCCCUUAGUAGCGGGAGCGAAACGGGAAGAGCCCAAACCAACAAGCUUGCUUGUUGGGGUUGUAGGACACUCUAUACGGAGUUACAAAGGACGACAUUAGACGAAUCAUCUGGAAAGAUGAAUCAAAGAAGGUAAUAAUCCUGUAGUCGAAAAUGUUGUCUCUCUUGAGUGGAUCCUGAGUACGACGGAGCACGUGAAAUUCCGUCGGAAUCUGGGAGGACCAUCUCCUAAGGCUAAAUACUCUCUAGUGACCGAUAGUGAACCAGUACCGUGAGGGAAAGGUGAAAAGCACCCCGGAAGGGGAGUGAAAUAGAACCUGAAACCGUGUGCUUACAAGUAGUCAGAGCCCGUUAAUGGGUGAUGGCGUGCCUUUUGUAGAAUGAACCGGCGAGUUACGAUUUGAUGCAAGGUUAAGCAGUAAAUGGGGAGCCGUAGCGAAAGCGAGUCUGAAUAGGGCGUUUAGUAUUUGGUCGUAGACCCGAAACCAGGUGAUCUACCCUUGGUCAGGUUGAAGUUCAGGUAACACUGAAUGGAGGACCGAACCGACUUACGUUGAAAAGUGAGCGGAUGAACUGAGGGUAGCGGAGAAAUUUCAAUCGAACCUGGAGAUAGCUGGUUCUCUCCGAAAUAGCUUUAGGGCUAGCCUCAAGUGAUGAUUAUUGGAGGUAGAGCACUGUUUGGACGAGGGGCCCCUCUCGGGUUACCGAAUUCAGACAAACUCCGAAUGCCAAUUAAUUUAACUUGGGAGUCAGAACAUGGGUGAUAAGGUCCGUGUUCGAAAGGGAAACAGCCCAGACCACCAGCUAAGGUCCCAAAAUAUAUGUUAAGUGGAAAAGGAUGUGGCGUUGCCCAGACAACUAGGAUGUUGGCUUAGAAGCAGCCAUCAUUUAAAGAGUGCGUAAUAGCUCACUAGUCGAGUGACACUGCGCCGAAAAUGUACCGGGGCUAAACAUAUUACCGAAGCUGUGGAUUGUCCUUUGGACAAUGGUAGGAGAGCGUUCUAAGGGCGUUGAAGCAUGAUCGUAAGGACAUGUGGAGCGCUUAGAAGUGAGAAUGCCGGUGUGAGUAGCGAAAGACGGGUGAGAAUCCCGUCCACCGAUUGACUAAGGUUUCCAGAGGAAGGCUCGUCCGCUCUGGGUUAGUCGGGUCCUAAGCUGAGGCCGACAGGCGUAGGCGAUGGAUAACAGGUUGAUAUUCCUGUACCACCUAUAAUCGUUUUAAUCGAUGGGGGGACGCAGUAGGAUAGGCGAAGCGUGCGAUUGGAUUGCACGUCUAAGCAGUAAGGCUGAGUAUUAGGCAAAUCCGGUACUCGUUAAGGCUGAGCUGUGAUGGGGAGAAGACAUUGUGUCUUCGAGUCGUUGAUUUCACACUGCCGAGAAAAGCCUCUAGAUAGAAAAUAGGUGCCCGUACCGCAAACCGACACAGGUAGUCAAGAUGAGAAUUCUAAGGUGAGCGAGCGAACUCUCGUUAAGGAACUCGGCAAAAUGACCCCGUAACUUCGGGAGAAGGGGUGCUCUUUAGGGUUAACGCCCAGAAGAGCCGCAGUGAAUAGGCCCAAGCGACUGUUUAUCAAAAACACAGGUCUCUGCUAAACCGUAAGGUGAUGUAUAGGGGCUGACGCCUGCCCGGUGCUGGAAGGUUAAGAGGAGUGGUUAGCUUCUGCGAAGCUACGAAUCGAAGCCCCAGUAAACGGCGGCCGGAACUAUAAAGGGCCUAAGGUAGCGAAAUUCCUUGUCGGGUAAGUUCCGACCCGCACGAAAGGCGUAACGAUUUGGGCACUGUCUCAACGAGAGACUCGGUGAAAUCAUAGGACCUGUGAAGAUGCAGGUUACCCGCGACAGGACGGAAAGACCCCGUGGAGCUUUACUGUAGCCUGAUAUUGAAAUUCGGCACAGCUUGUACAGGAUAGGUAGGAGCCUUUGAAACGUGAGCGCUAGCUUACGUGGAGGCGCUGGUGGGAUACUACCCUAGCUGUGUUGGCUUUCUAACCCGCACCACUUAUCGUGGUGGGAGACAGUGUCAGGCGGGCAGUUUGACUGGGGCGGUCGCCUCCUAAAAGGUAACGGAGGCGCUCAAAGGUUCCCUCAGAAUGGUUGGAAAUCAUUCAUAGAGUGUAAAGGCAUAAGGGAGCUUGACUGCGAGACCUACAAGUCGAGCAGGGUCGAAAGACGGACUUAGUGAUCCGGUGGUUCCGCAUGGAAGGGCCAUCGCUCAACGGAUAAAAGCUACCCCGGGGAUAACAGGCUUAUCUCCCCCAAGAGUUCACAUCGACGGGGAGGUUUGGCACCUCGAUGUCGGCUCAUCGCAUCCUGGGGCUGUAGUCGGUCCCAAGGGUUGGGCUGUUCGCCCAUUAAAGCGGUACGCGAGCUGGGUUCAGAACGUCGUGAGACAGUUCGGUCCCUAUCCGUCGUGGGCGUAGGAAAUUUGAGAGGAGCUGUCCUUAGUACGAGAGGACCGGGAUGGACAUACCUCUGGUGUACCAGUUGUCGUGCCAACGGCAUAGCUGGGUAGCUAUGUGUGGACGGGAUAAGUGCUGAAAGCAUCUAAGCAUGAAGCCCCCCUCAAGAUGAGAUUUCCCAACUUCGGUUAUAAGAUCCCUCAAAGAUGAUGAGGUUAAUAGGUUCGAGGUGGAAGCAUGGUGACAUGUGGAGCUGACGAAUACUAAUCGAUCGAAGACUUAAUCAA
rnacentral:rRNA from 1 species